UACGAGGGGGGCAAGCGUUGUUCGGAAUUAUUGGGCGUAAAGGGUGCGUAGGCGGUUUUGUAAGUCUUGUGUGAAAUCUCCGGGCUUAACUCGGAAAGGUCAACUGAUACUGUGCGACUAGAGUGCAGAAGGGGCAACUGGAAUUCUCGGUGUAGCGGUGAAAUGCGUAGAUAUCGAGAGGAACACCUGCGGCGAAGGCGGGUUGCUGGGCUGACACUGACGCUGAUGCGCGAAAGCCAGGGGAGCGAACGGG
rnacentral:rRNA from 1 species